rnacentral:rRNA from 1 species
GGGUUGUGAGGUUAAGCGACUAAGCGUACACGGUGGAUGCCCUGGCAGUCAGAGGCGAUGAAGGACGUGCUAAUCUGCGAUAAGCGUCGGUAAGGUGAUAUGAACCGUUAUAACCGGCGAUUUCCGAAUGGGGAAACCCAGUGUGAUUCGUCACACUAUCAUUAACUGAAUCCAUAGGUUAAUGAGGCGAACCGGGGGAACUGAAACAUCUAAGUACCCCGAGGAAAAGAAAUCAACCGAGAUUCCCCCAGUAGCGGCGAGCGAACGGGGAGGAGCCCAGAGCCUGAAUCAGUGUGUGUGUUAGUGGAAGCGUCUGGAAAGGCGCGCGAUACAGGGUGACAGCCCCGUACACAAAAAUGCACAUGCUGUGAGCUCGAUGAGUAGGGCGGGACACGUGGUAUCCUGUCUGAAUAUGGGGGGACCAUCCUCCAAGGCUAAAUACUCCUGACUGACCGAUAGUGAACCAGUACCGUGAGGGAAAGGCGAAAAGAACCCCGGCGAGGGGAGUGAAAAAGAACCUGAAACCGUGUACGUACAAGCAGUGGGAGCACGCUUAGGCGUGUGACUGCGUACCUUUUGUAUAAUGGGUCAGCGACUUAUAUUCUGUAGCAAGGUUAACCGAAUAGGGGAGCCGAAGGGAAACCGAGUCUUAACUGGGCGUUAAGUUGCAGGGUAUAGACCCGAAACCCGGUGAUCUAGCCAUGGGCAGGUUGAAGGUUGGGUAACACUAACUGGAGGACCGAACCGACUAAUGUUGAAAAAUUAGCGGAUGACUUGUGGCUGGGGGUGAAAGGCCAAUCAAACCGGGAGAUAGCUGGUUCUCCCCGAAAGCUAUUUAGGUAGCGCCUCGUGAAUUCAUCUCCGGGGGUAGAGCACUGUUUCGGCAAGGGGGUCAUCCCGACUUACCAACCCGAUGCAAACUGCGAAUACCGGAGAAUGUUAUCACGGGAGACACACGGCGGGUGCUAACGUCCGUCGUGAAGAGGGAAACAACCCAGACCGCCAGCUAAGGUCCCAAAGUCAUGGUUAAGUGGGAAACGAUGUGGGAAGGCCCAGACAGCCAGGAUGUUGGCUUAGAAGCAGCCAUCAUUUAAAGAAAGCGUAAUAGCUCACUGGUCGAGUCGGCCUGCGCGGAAGAUGUAACGGGGCUAAACCAUGCACCGAAGCUGCGGCAGCGACGCUUAUGCGUUGUUGGGUAGGGGAGCGUUCUGUAAGCCUGUGAAGGUGUGCUGUGAGGCAUGCUGGAGGUAUCAGAAGUGCGAAUGCUGACAUAAGUAACGAUAAAGCGGGUGAAAAGCCCGCUCGCCGGAAGACCAAGGGUUCCUGUCCAACGUUAAUCGGGGCAGGGUGAGUCGACCCCUAAGGCGAGGCCGAAAGGCGUAGUCGAUGGGAAACAGGUUAAUAUUCCUGUACUUGGUGUUACUGCGAAGGGGGGACGGAGAAGGCUAUGUUGGCCGGGCGACGGUUGUCCCGGUUUAAGCGUGUAGGCUGGUUUUCCAGGCAAAUCCGGAAAAUCAAGGCUGAGGCGUGAUGACGAGGCACUACGGUGCUGAAGCAACAAAUGCCCUGCUUCCAGGAAAAGCCUCUAAGCAUCAGGUAACAUCAAAUCGUACCCCAAACCGACACAGGUGGUCAGGUAGAGAAUACCAAGGCGCUUGAGAGAACUCGGGUGAAGGAACUAGGCAAAAUGGUGCCGUAACUUCGGGAGAAGGCACGCUGAUAUGUAGGUGAAGUCCCUCGCGGAUGGAGCUGAAAUCAGUCGAAGAUACCAGCUGGCUGCAACUGUUUAUUAAAAACACAGCACUGUGCAAACACGAAAGUGGACGUAUACGGUGUGACGCCUGCCCGGUGCCGGAAGGUUAAUUGAUGGGGUUAGCGCAAGCGAAGCUCUUGAUCGAAGCCCCGGUAAACGGCGGCCGUAACUAUAACGGUCCUAAGGUAGCGAAAUUCCUUGUCGGGUAAGUUCCGACCUGCACGAAUGGCGUAAUGAUGGCCAGGCUGUCUCCACCCGAGACUCAGUGAAAUUGAACUCGCUGUGAAGAUGCAGUGUACCCGCGGCAAGACGGAAAGACCCCGUGAACCUUUACUAUAGCUUGACACUGAACAUUGAGCCUUGAUGUGUAGGAUAGGUGGGAGGCUUUGAAGUGUGGACGCCAGUCUGCAUGGAGCCGACCUUGAAAUACCACCCUUUAAUGUUUGAUGUUCUAACGUUGACCCGUAAUCCGGGUUGCGGACAGUGUCUGGUGGGUAGUUUGACUGGGGCGGUCUCCUCCUAAAGAGUAACGGAGGAGCACGAAGGUUGGCUAAUCCUGGUCGGACAUCAGGAGGUUAGUGCAAUGGCAUAAGCCAGCUUGACUGCGAGCGUGACGGCGCGAGCAGGUGCGAAAGCAGGUCAUAGUGAUCCGGUGGUUCUGAAUGGAAGGGCCAUCGCUCAACGGAUAAAAGGUACUCCGGGGAUAACAGGCUGAUACCGCCCAAGAGUUCAUAUCGACGGCGGUGUUUGGCACCUCGAUGUCGGCUCAUCACAUCCUGGGGCUGAAGUAGGUCCCAAGGGUAUGGCUGUUCGCCAUUUAAAGUGGUACGCGAGCUGGGUUUAGAACGUCGUGAGACAGUUCGGUCCCUAUCUGCCGUGGGCGCUGGAGAACUGAGGGGGGCUGCUCCUAGUACGAGAGGACCGGAGUGGACGCAUCACUGGUGUUCGGGUUGUCAUGCCAAUGGCACUGCCCGGUAGCUAAAUGCGGAAGAGAUAAGUGCUGAAAGCAUCUAAGCACGAAACUUGCCCCGAGAUGAGUUCUCCCUGACUCCUUGAGAGUCCUGAAGGAACGUUGAAGACGACGACGUUGAUAGGCCGGGUGUGUAAGCGCAGCGAUGCGUUGAGCUAACCGGUACUAAUGAACCGUGAGGCUUAACCUUACAACGCCGAAG